rnacentral:rRNA from 1 species
GCGACCGGCGCACGGGUGAGUAACACGUAUCCAACCUGCCGAUGACUCGGGGAUAGCCUUUCGAAAGAAAGAUUAAUACCCGAUGGCAUAGUUCUUCCGCAUGGUAGAACUAUUAAAGAAUUUCGGUCAUCGAUGGGGAUGCGUUCCAUUAGGUUGUUGGCGGGGUAACGGCCCACCAAGCCUUCGAUGGAUAGGGGUUCUGAGAGGAAGGUCCCCCACAUUGGAACUGAGACACGGUCCAAACUCCUACGGGAGGCAGCAGUGAGGAAUAUUGGUCAAUGGACGAGAGUCUGAACCAGCCAAGUAGCGUGAAGGAUGACUGCCCUAUGGGUUGUAAACUUCUUUUAUACGGGAAUAAAGUGAGGCACGUGUGCCUUUUUGUAUGUACCGUAUGAAUAAGGAUCGGCUAACUCCGUGCCAGCAGCCGCGGUAAUACGGAGGAUCCGAGCGUUAUCCGGAUUUAUUGGGUUUAAAGGGAGCGUAGGCGGACGCUUAAGUCAGUUGUGAAAGUUUGCGGCUCAACCGUAAAAUUGCAGUUGAUACUGGGUGUCUUGAGUACAGUAGAGGCAGGCGGAAUUCGUGGUGUAGCGGUGAAAUGCUUAGAUAUCACGAAGAACUCCGAUUGC